rnacentral:rRNA from 1 species
UUAGAGUUUGAUCCUGGCUCAGGAUGAACGCUAGCGAUAGGCCUAACACAUGCAAGUCGAGGGGUAACAGGGUAGCAAUACCGCUGACGACCGGCAAAUGGGUGAGUAACGCGUAUGCAACCUACCGAUAACAGUUGGAUAGCUCCCUGAAAGGGGAAUUAAACCGGCAUGAUACUAUUUAAUCGCCUGUUUAGAUAGUUAAAUAUUUAUAGGUUAUCGAUGGGCAUGCGUGACAUUAGCAAGUUGGUGAGGUAACGGCUCACCAAUGCUACGAUGUCUAGGGGUUCUGAGAGGAAGGUCCCCCACACUGGUACUGAGACACGGACCAGACUCCUACGGGAGGCAGCAGUGAGGAAUAUUGGUCAAUGGACGGAAGUCUGAACCAGCCACUUCGCGUGCAGGAUGACUGCCCUAUGGGUUGUAAACUGCUUUUAUAUAAGAGGAACAGUAUUUAUGUAUAGAUAUUUGCCAGUAUUAUAUGAAUAAGGAUCGGCUAACUCCGUGCCAGCAGCCGCGGUAAUACGGAGGAUCCGAGCGUUAUCCGGAUUUAUUGGGUUUAAAGGGUGAGUAGGCGGUAGUAUAAGUCAGCGGUGAAAACUUGCAGCUCAACUGUAAGCUUGCCGUUGAAACUGUAUCACUUGAGUUAAGUUGAGGUAUGCGGAAUGUGGUGUGUAGCGGUGAAAUGCAUAGAUAUACCACAGAACGUCGAUUGCGAAGGCAGCAUACUAAGUUUAUACUGACGCUGAUGCACGAAAGCGUGGGGAUCAAACAGGAUUAGAUACCCUGGUAGUCCACGCCGUAAACUA